AAGUCGUAACAAGGUCUCCGUAGGUGAACCUGCGGAGGGAUCAUCUAUAAAAAAAAUAUGAUGAUGAUGAUGUUUAUUCAUCAUUAUUCAUAUAUUAUCCAUUAUAGGAUGUUUUGGUGUUGUUAUUAUAUAAUAUUCUUAUAAUGUUGCAGGAUGGAAUUGUGUGUAUGUGUCGGUGUUUGUGUGUGUGUGUUGUAUGUGUGUUUGUGUUUUAAGGAGUAUUGUUACUCUUUUUAACCUUCCCCACAUACACUCUACUCUUAUUACUACCCAUCACUACACCAAUAAAAAACCAACCAGGAUCAUAAAUUCCAAACAAAGUUUAUAACUUUUGGCAACGGAUCUCUUGGUUCUC
rnacentral:misc_RNA from 1 species